rnacentral:rRNA from 1 species
UACGGGGGGGGCAAGCGUUGUUCGGAAUUACUGGGCGUAAAGAGCGUGUAGGCGGCCAGGUAGGUCGGUUGUGAAAACUGGAGGCUCAACCUUCAGAGGUCGACCGAAACCAUCUGGCUAGAGUCCGGGAGAGGAGAGUGGAAAUUCCUGGUGUAGCGGUGAAAUGCGCAGAUAUCAGGAGGAACACCCGUGGCGAAAGCGGCUCUCUGGAACGGUACUGACGCUGAGACGCGAAAGCGUGGGGAGCGAACAGG